GUGAGGAGCUGACAGACAGGAGCUCAGACGUCAGGGGAAGGAGGAUUCUGCCCUUCGGAGAACCCCAGGGGUCCCAGGUUGGGAUGUUGGGGUGGGGUAUUGCAAACAGAGAAGAGGCCUGUAGAACAGGAGAGUCCACUUUUUAAACGCAGGAUGUUCUCUGCUUCCUGUGGUGACGACCUUCCAGUCCAACCAUUUCAAAUUUUUAAAGUUGACACUCGUUCCAGAAACUAAUCAGAAUUCAUCAAGAAAUCCUGACAACCAUUGUUCAGACGGUGGAAUUUCAAAGGUCAGAGCAACCUGAAACUAAUAAACGAGUUGUGAAAAUGAGGCCACCCUGCUGUCAUUCUGAGUUUCCUUCAACUUGUUUAUCUUCAGGAAAACAAACUGGAGCCGACGAGUGGCUGAGAGGAAACUUGGCUUGAAAAUCAGAAGAAAUCCUAAAAUCCGAUGUAAAUAAAUGUUAAUAAACUGGAGCAAAGCAACAGAAACUUACAGUUUAGUUGAACUGUUCUCUGAAAAGAAACAUUUUUUUGUUUGAUUCUUGCAAAAAGAAACAAACGUAUUUGAUAAAUUCAUAUUUAUUUCACUUUUAGGAUUCAACUUCGUCCUCUGUCAGAGCUUCCUCUGUUGUGUGUUUGAUAAACUGUUCUUUCUCCUGACACGGACCGUUUUCAGUUCUCCUUGGUUUAAACUCUGAGCGAGGAGCAGGAAUGAAUAAAUCAGCGGCCGAAGAGUCGAUGUGAUUCAUCAACGUCUGCGUCGAGGAUAAACUUUAACUUUGAGACUGAUUCUGAGGAGAUCAGACUCGACUGUCGUCUGAUUUUAAUUCAGUGGAACUUUUAGAUGAUUUGAUGGAUUUUUAAAUGUUUCAGUUUUCAGUUCAGACUCAGGAUUGAUUCAGUAAUGUUUCUCAGCCCAGCUCCUGCAUUUUAUACAGCUUUUAUUUUGAAAAUCCACAUUAAAACCUCUUAUUUUAAAGAAUGAAAUCUCUCUUUUUUAACUCCU